UUAAAGAGAGUUUGAUCCUGGCUCAGGACGAACGCUGGCGGCGUGCCUAAUACAUGCAAGUAGAACGCUGAGAACUGGUGCUUGCACCGGUUCAAGGAGUUGCGAACGGGUGAGUAACGCGUAGGUAACCUACCUCAUAGCGGGGGAUAACUAUUGGAAACGAUAGCUAAUACCGCAUAAGAGAGACUAACGCAUGUUAGUAAUUUAAAAGGGGCAAUUGCUCCACUAUGAGAUGGACCUGCGUUGUAUUAGCUAGUUGGUGAGGUAAAGGCUCACCAAGGCGACGAUACAUAGCCGACCUGAGAGGGUGAUCGGCCACACUGGGACUGAGACACGGCCCAGACUCCUACGGGAGGCAGCAGUAGGGAAUCUUCGGCAAUGGGGGCAACCCUGACCGAGCAACGC
rnacentral:rRNA from 1 species